CCUUCCACCAACCGGCAGCGCAAUUGGCAGUAUAAUAAUUUAAUAAUAAAUGUGAUACGACCACUACCAUGUGAUAAUAAUUAUUGUAUUUAAAAAUAUAGUUCUGUGUUAAUAAUAUUUUGAUAUUCUCAUCAACACUAGAAAACAACCAUAUGAUGAUGUUUGUUGGAUGAGGUUAAGAAGUUUACCUAGAUUUGCAUAGGAGUCGAUUUUUGAUAUAUUUUUUUCAACGUCCAAUAUUUAAUUCUUAACAUGGUGAUAUUUUACAUUUUUGCAUUGUAAUUAUUCGGCUUAGAAAUUAAAAUUUGCUUCUAUACUAAAGCAGACUAACUUGUCUUCUU